CGAAGGUAGCAUAAUCAGUAGUUUUUUAAUUGAAAGCUUGUAUGAAUGAUUGGACGUGGUAUUAACUGUUUCAUUUGAAUUUUUAGUAGAAUUUUAUUUUUUAAUAAAAAAGUUAAAAUAAAUUUAAAAGACGAGAAGACCCUAUAAAUCUUAAUAAUUUAUUUAUUAUAGUUAUUUAGAUUAUUUAAAGUAUAAUAUUUGAAGUUAUUUUAUUGGGGUGAUAUUAAAAUUUAAUAAACUUUUAGUUAAAUUAAACAUAAAUUUAUGAUUUUUUGAUCCAUUAUUAAUGAUUAAAAAUUUAAGUUACUUUAGGGAUAACAGCGUAAUUUUUUUAGAGAGUUCAUAUCGAUAAAAAAGAUUGCGACCUC
rnacentral:rRNA from 1 species